rnacentral:rRNA from 1 species
AAUGAACGCUGGCGGCAGGCCUAACACAUGCAAGUCGAGCGGCCGCACAGGGAGCGCCCGCUCUUGAGGGUGGCGCGUGGCGGACGGGUGACGCAUCCAUCGGAUACCACUUUGACGGGGAGAAUAACGUCGGAAAAGCUCUGAUAAUAGAGAAUAUGUCGUACCGGAUGGUGCAGGAGUUCUUCGGGGUUUGGGCGUUUGUAAUAGCCGAUGUCGCAUUAGCUAGUUGGCGGGGUAAAGGCCCACCAAGGCGACGAUGCGUAGCCGAUCUGACAGGGUGAUCAGCCACACUGGAACUGAGACACGGUCCAGACUCCUACGGGAGGCAGCAGUAGGGAAUCUUGGGCGAUGGGCGAAAGCCUGAUCCAGCAAUACCGCGUGAGUGAUGAAGGCCUUCGGGUUGUAAAGCCCUGUUGUUGGGAAAGAAAAAAAGCAUAUUUAUCUCCGGAUGUUCUGACGGUACCCAAAGAAGAAGCCCCGGCUAACUUCGUG